AUGGGGUUCCCGGAGCCGGAGCCGGAGCCGAAGGGGCUCGUGGCCAUACAGCAACAGCAGGAGCCAGCCAGAGCCACUGUUGUCAGUGUUCUGAAUCUGAAUCAAGCCCGUCUACGCUCUUUUCUGCUUGCUUAUAAACUGAUGAAACAAGUUGUCAGGCGUUCUUGCAGUCAAAUGGAUCGAUUGCUUGGCGAAACAAACGAAAAGGCUCGCCAUGCCAACAAGGUUUGGUUGCUCAUGGAUCGGUUGCUUCGCUGGCCCGCCAAGAAGAUGAAAGUUCUCAGGGUGAUCCAGCAGAGGACUAUUCAGGGCCACACCUUCCAGAGUUAUAUCGUUGUUCUUUUCCCAGUAGAUCUAACGGACAUCUGGUGUCAUAUACAUUCGCUAAUGCCACUCCGAGAUGCCGCCCGAGCUGCUUGUGUGUCUCGUGCCUUCAAAUUCUCCUGGAGAUGCUAUCCCAAGCUCACCUUCAGUGAAGAAACAUUGGGUUUGGAUGGACACGUGAAUCGAAACGCCGAUGCAAGAGCUUUUACUACCAAAGUUGACCAUAUUCUUGAGAAGCACUCAGGCAUUGGCAUAAAGACACUGGAGCUUCUAGGAGCUCUAGAUUACAAUGCCAAAGACCGUUGUUAUCUUGACAAAUGGCUUCAAAUGGCGAUUACACCAGUACAACUGUCACAUCUAGAAUCAUUUCAAAUGAAGAGUGUAUACAUGGAUUGUCCUGGCGUUAUUGGUUAUAUUCGUGUUAAGCUUGCACCAAGCAUGCCAAACCUUCAAUCCCUUCUCAUAUAUUCAUCCGAGAUGGUUGACGCACCAAUGUCCAGCAAAUUUCUCCACCUCAAGUAUUUGAAUAUCAUUCUCAGGAGAGGGACCUUUUCCCUAAACUAUGAUUAUCUCUCUCUGGCAUCUUUCUUGGGCGCUUCCCCUUCCUUGGAGACCUUCAUCUUGAAUGUAUGGGAACUACGCAUGGAGCAUGUCUCAGCUUCCACGGAUCUCUCGGAGCCAAGGGAGAUGCCUGGACACAACCAUGACAAGCUCAAGAACGUGAGGAUCGACGGCUUCUACUCCACGAAGAGCUUGAUUGAGCUGGCAUGCCAUAUCGUUCACAUCGCAACGCUGCUCGAGUCGCUUAUAUUGGACACCUGA
rnacentral:rRNA from 1 species